CCCCCCCAAGCUUGGCUUCUUCAAACGCUCGGUGCCCUACGGCACGGCCAUGGAGAAGGCGCAGCUGAAACCCCAAGCGGCCUCGGAGGCCUAAGGGCGUCACCGGGACGGCACCGCCAACGUCACCGGGACGGCACCGGGCACGGCCAACGGCUGGGACAGGCGGCAGAGCCGGACUGGGACCACCGAGCCCGGCGUCACCGCUGGACGGCACCGGGGUGAUGCCGGGUGGGCACCACCGCCACGGGUGCAGGGGACAACGCCGCGCUGGGUGGUGGCAGCGCCGUGCCCACGGCGUCACCGCGAUGGGCGUCACCGCGACACUACUGUGCCACCCCCUGGUCGCUGCAAUGGGUGUCACCGUGCCAGCACUGCUGUACCAGCAAUGUCACCACGAUGGGGGUCACCGUGACGUGACCGCCGUGCCAACAGUGUCACCGUGAUGGCAUCGCCGUGCCAACAGUGUCACCAUGAUGGCACCGCCGUGCCAACAGUGUCACCGUGAAGGGUGUCACUGCAACGUGACCGCCGUGCCAGCACUGUCACCAUGAUGGGAGUCACCGUGACGGCACCGCCGUGCCAACACCAUCACUGCAAUGGGUGUCCCCGUGGCGGGACCCCGGUGCCAGCACUGUCACCAUGAUGGGAGUCACCGUGAUGGCACCACCGUGCCAACAGAGUCACUGUGAUGGGCGUCACCAUGACGUGACCGCCGUGCCAACACUGUCACCAUGAUGGGAGUCACCGUGGCGGGACCCCCGUGCCAGCAUUGUCACCGUGACGGGCAUCACCAGGAUGGCACGGCUGGGGUUGUAGUGUCACCACGACCCCGGGGGGACGGGCACCAUCCGUGGUGACGUCGUGGUGACAUGGUGGUGACGUGGUGGUGACGUGGUGGUGACACGGUGGCCCGGCGGUCGCGGUGUCGUCGUUGCUGCACUGCCCGUGCCCCUCACCGCGGGCACCUCACUUUGCACUGAGCCC
rnacentral:lncRNA from 1 species